UACGAAGGGGGCUAGCGUUGCUCGGAUUGACUGGGCGUAAAGGGCGCGUAGGCGGACGGCUUUGUCGGGCGUGAAAUUCCAGGGCUUAACCUUGGGGCUGCGUUCGAGACGGGUUGUCUAGAGUUUGGAAGAGGGUCGUGGAAUUCCCAGUGUAGAGGUGAAAUUCGUAGAUAUUGGGAAGAACACCGGUGGCGAAGGCGGCGACCUGGUCCUUGACUGACGCUGAGGCGCGAAAGCGUGGGGAGCAAACAGG
rnacentral:rRNA from 1 species